rnacentral:rRNA from 1 species
CUUGGUAAGAAUAGCUGCGGGGGUACACCUGGUCCCAUUCCGAACCCAGAAGUUAAGCCCGUAAACGCUGAAAGUACUUGGAGGGAAGCCUCCUGGGAGGAUAGGAACUUGCCAAGU